rnacentral:rRNA from 1 species
GACGAACGCUGGCGGCGUGCUUAACACAUGCAAGUCGAACGAUGAAGCCGGAGCUUGCUCUGGUGAAUUAGUGGCGAACGGGUGAGUAACACGUGAGUAACCUGCCCUUGACUCUGGGAUAACUGCUAGAAAUGGUAGCUAAUACCGGAUACGACCCUCGGCGGCAUCGCCAGGGGGUGGAAAGAAUUUCGGUCAAGGAUGGACUCGCGGCCUAUCAGCUAGUUGGUGAGGUAACCUCUCACCACUGCGACGACGGGUAGCCGGCCUGAGGGGGUGACCGGCCACACUGGGACUGAGACACGGCCCAGACUCCUACGGGAGGCAGCAGUGGGGAAUAUUGCACAAUGGGCGCAAGCCUGAUGCAGCAACGCCGCGUGAGGGAUGACGGCCUUCGGGUUGUAACCCUCUUUUAGUAGGGAAGAAGCGAAAGUGACGGUACCUGCAGAAAAAGCACCGGCUAACUACGUGCCAGCCGCCGCGGUAA